UUCCUUGUCUCACCAUGGACGUGAAGAAGCAGGAGCUUUACUGGGCAAGUUUUUACAAGGGAUAUAGGCGGCGAACCGUAGGAGGAGAAGAAGCCCUGAAAGGAAUUGUUAACGAUUUAGGCUGGAUACCUGGGAGUGCAAGGCCCUAUCAGUGUGUCAUUGAUCAACAACGGAGAUAUUUCUAUACCAUCGGGUAUCAGACGAUUACUCGAUUUCAUCUAGACAGUUUGCAUUCCGAAAUGAUUUCAUCAGAUUUAGCUACGGGUUACGUUGACGGAUUGACAAUAGAUGAAAAAGGAGAACAACUGUUUUGGACAUCAUCAAGAUACAUCAUUUACUCGUUCGACUUAAAGAAUGGCCUUGGACCGUUCACAUUACUAAACCUAAAAAGUUUGAAAAUGUAUCCUCAUAGCAUAUUCUUCGUAUCUGGGUGGCUUGUUUGGUAUGACCGGAAGCAGGAUCGGGUUUGUGCUGCAAAAGCUAAAGUAGACGCUGAAAUUAAAUUAUGUCGUUUUACCACUUAUGAUGGUAAUAAGCCCAACAUUUAUGUAUCUCGGGCAGACGGAAAAUACUUGGCACUGCGACGAAUAUAAGUUUUCCCCUUGCAGCCUUUUGAACAUUUUGGGAGAGUGCAGCUAGGGACUGGCGGUGAUUUUACACCAUCAGUUAAAAACCGUCAAUGAUACCCUGGAUGCAAACAUAAACUCUUGUUUAAUAAAAACUGUGAUCAUACUACAAGUGCAUGCAAUGUGCUUUUUAAUGUUUUUAUAUUAACAGAGUCAGUCACUGAGUUUGACAUGAAAUUGUUAACAGCACCAGAAACACAAGAUAUAUUUGUUGUUGUGGGCUGUUAACU